rnacentral:sRNA from 1 species
UCUAUUGCGCAGCUCGCUGCCGUGCGUUUAACCCAGGCGAGGAGGAGGAGGAGAAAAUUCCCCCAGAUUCGGGCAGGUCUGUCUUCCUUUUGGGCUCUGUGCAACUGCAGCUACAGUGGAAAAAAGCAAACUGCUCUUGAUCCCAGAAGGCCCUGCCUAAGCCUCAGCAGAACUUGUAAGCCUAAACUGAAGAGCCUC